rnacentral:rRNA from 1 species
ACGCUCGACACCUACGGGAGGUAGCAGUGGGGAAUAUUGCACAAUGGGGGAAACCCUGAUGCAGCGACGCCGCGUGGAGGAAGAAGGUCUUCGGAUUGUAAACUCCUGUUGUUGGGGAAAAAGNGGAUGGUACCCAACAAGGAAGUGACGGCUAACUACGUGCCGGCAGCCGCGGUAAUCUGAGCGGGCUGGCAAGGC